AGGGACUUAGGAUUAAAUUAAACCGAGAGCCUUCAAAGCCCUAAACAAGAGUAACACCUCUUAGCCCCUG
rnacentral:tRNA from 1 species